CGUCCGUUGUCAAGAGGGAAACAACCCAGACCGCCAGCUAAGGUCCCCAAUGAUAGAUUAAGUGGUAAACGAAGUGGGAAGGCUCAGACAGCCAGGAUGUUGGCUUAGAAGCAGCCAUCAUUUAAAGAAAGCGUAAUAGCUCACUGGUCGAGUCGUCCUGCGCGGAAGAUGUAACGGGGCUCAAAUCUAUAACCGAAGCUGCGGAUGCCGGUUUACCGGCAUGGUAGGGGAGCGUUCUGUAGGCCGAUGAAGGUGCAUUGUAAAGUGUGCUGGAGGUAUCAGAAGUGCGAAUGUUGACAUGAGUAGCGAUAAAGCGGGUGAAAAGCCCGCUCGCCGAAAGCCCAAGGUUUCCUGCGCAACGUUCAUCGGCGUAGGGUGAGUCGGCCCCUAAGGCGAGGCAGAAAUGCGUAGUCGAUGGGAAACAGGUUAAUAUUCCUGUACUUGAUUCAAAUGCGAUGUGGGGACGGAGAAGGUUAGGUUGGCAAGCUGUUGGAAUAGCUUGUUUAAGCCGGUAGGUGGAAGACUUAGGCAAAUCCGGGUCUUCUUAACACCGAGAAGUGACGACGAGUGUCUACGGACACGAAGUAACCGAUACCACGCUUCCAGGAAAAGCCACUAAGCUUCAGUUUGAAUCGAACCGUACCGCAAACCGACACAGGUGGGCAGGAUGAGAAUUCUAAGGCGCUUGAGAGAACUCAGGAGAAGGAACUCGGCAAAUUGAUACCGUAACUUCGGGAGAAGGUAUGCCCUCUAAGGUUAAGGACUUGCUCCGUAAGCCCCGGAGGGUCGCAGAGAAUAGGUGGCUGCGACUGUUUAUUAAAAACACAGCACUCUGCUAACACGAAAGUGGACGUAUAGGGUGUGACGCCUGCCCGGUGCUGGAAGGUUAAUUGAAGAUGUGAGAGCAUCGGAUCGAAGCCCCAGUAAACGGCGGCCGUAACUAUAACGGUCCUAAGGUAGCGAAAUUCCUUGUCGGGUAAGUUCCGACCCGCACGAAUGGCGUAACGAUGGCCACACUGUCUCCUCCUGAGACUCAGCGAAGUUGAAGUGGUUGUGAAGAUGCAAUCUACCCGCUGCUAGACGGAAAGACCCCGUGAACCUUUACUGUAGCUUUGCAUUGGACUUUGAAGUCACUUGUGUAGGAUAGGUGGGAGGCUUAGAAGCAGAGACGCCAGUCUCUGCGGAGCCGUCCUUGAAAUACCACCCUGGUGUCUUUGAGGUUCUAACCCAGACCCGUCAUCCGGGUCGGGGACCGUGCAUGGUAGGCAGUUUGACUGGGGCGGUCUCCUCCCAAAGCGUAACGGAGGAGUUCGAAGGUUACCUAGGUCCGGUCGGAAAUCGGACUGAUAGUGCAAUGGCAAAAGGUAGCUUAACUGCGAGACCGACAAGUCGAGCAGGUGCGAAAGCAGGACAUAGUGAUCCGGUGGUUCUGUAUGGAAGGGCCAUCGCUCAACGGAUAAAAGGUACUCCGGGGAUAACAGGCUGAUUCCGCCCAAGAGUUCAUAUCGACGGCGGAGUUUGGCACCUCGAUGUCGGCUCAUCACAUCCUGGGGCUGUAGUCGGUCCCAAGGGUAUGGCUGUUCGCCAUUUAAAGUGGUACGUGAGCUGGGUUUAAAACGUCGUGAGACAGUUUGGUCCCUAUCUGCAGUGGGCGUUGGAAGUUUGACGGGGGCUGCUCCUAGUACGAGAGGACCGGAGUGGACGAACCUCUGGUGUACCGGUUGUAACGCCAGUUGCAUAGCCGGGUAGCUAAGUUCGGAAGAGAUAAGCGCUGAAAGCAUCUAAGCGCGAAACUCGCCUGAAGAUGAGACUUCCCUUGCGGUUUAACCGCACUAAAGAGUCGUUCGAGACCAGGACGUUGAUAGGUGGGGUGUGGAAGCGCGGUAACGCGUGAAGCUAACCCAUACUAAUUGCUCGUGAGGCUUGACUCU
rnacentral:rRNA from 1 species